CAAAUAUUACCUCCGUCCCAAAAGGCUUGUCUUAGAUUUAUCUAGAUAGGGAUGUAUCUAACAAUAAAACGUGUCUAGAUACAUCUAUAUGUAGACAAGUGUAAGACAAGCUUUUUUGGGACAGAGGGAGUACAUC
rfam:Triticum aestivum genome assembly, contig: Triticum_aestivum_CS42_TGACv1_scaffold_374648_5AL